GACGAAGGAUGCAAGCGUUAUCCGGAAUCAUUGGGUUUAAAGGGUCCGUAGGCGGUUUGGUAAGUCAGUGGUGAAAGCCCAUCGCUCAACGGUGGAACGGCCAUUGAUACUGCCAGACUUGAAUUAUUAGGAAGUAACUAGAAUAUGUAGUGUAGCGGUGAAAUGCUUAGAGAUUACAUGGAAUACCAAUUGCGAAGGCAGGUUACUACUAAUGGAUUGACGCUGAUGGACGAAAGCGUGGGUAGCGAACAGG
rnacentral:rRNA from 1 species